AAAAUGUCUUCAAAAGAGACAGGAAUUUCUAAUGGAUAAUAAAAUUGUCAUUGCGGCUAUUUACCUCGACUCAAGAAGUAGACGCGUGUUACUACAGAAGCCAACAUCGUGAUUGCCAAGAAUCACCUAAAAUAUAAAAUUAUUCCAUCCUCAUCUAGCCAAAAUAAUUUACAAGAAGUUGCUUCGAUUGAAUAGGAUGCCAAAAACCAAUAAAUAUUAAUAAGGAUAUAAUGAUCUAUUGGGAAGAGCAGAAGUUUACUUACCUCAAUUUAUACGAGUUAGUCAUCCACUGUACCUGCAACAUAGUGGGACCUUGAUUAUUCGUAUUCGAUUAUCCGGCAACAUCAAUUAUCAGGGAUAGAAAAAUAUUUUUUUUGCAUCGACUUAAUUUUAUUUUGGAUUUUUCUGCAUCGUUUAACCGUGAUUACCUCUACUAUCCGUGAUCAUAAGUAAAUUUUUAUUAUUUUUCAACAACCAUGCACAAUUAGAACAAAUCGAAAAUGGGAAUUCGCUUGAAAUCGAUUUUGACGAAAUUUAGUACUAUUGGAUAGUAGGUCCGACACACAUUUUAAGCUCUACCGGUCAAUAAC